AAGUAGUGAAUAAUGAAAUUAAGUUUUCAAGAACUUCUUCAAGAAUUCUGUAGAAAUCAAAAACCAUUCAAACCCUCUUCACAUCUUCAUCAAAUCCAACUCAAUUUAGUGUUUCCACUACAUAAUUCUUGCAAGAGAUAGAUAAGAUCUUCGUGGUGGUCUACUUGUAGAUUGAAGCACAUUUAAGUGGAACUCAACUAGUGUUGAAGAAGUUUCUUCAAAGUAUACUCUACCACUCCGUUCUCCCUCAAUCCUUCGUUUGUGUUGUGCCGCUCAGAUCUGCAACUCUCAGUCGCAUCCGUCGAUCUCCGUUUCCUCUGCAUCUCCACCUAGAUCUGGCAUCGUCCAGCAUCGUUCUUUGAUCUCCGCCGACGCUACUUUAGUCUUCAUCGUCGCUCUUCGCCCCAGAUCUGUCUCAGUUUGUGGGUCUUCGAUUUGUCAUUCGAAGCUCCUGGCCAGACCUCGCCUUCCAGUUUGUGGGUCUCCGCUCCUUGCUUUUCGAUCUAUCGUGCGAAGCUAGGGUUUAAAAAAAUCCCCUUGGUUUAUUUAACUUCGAUCGAUUCGGUUUAACUAGUCUAGUUUAGUCAUUCUGGUCUAGUUCGAUCAGACUAAACCAUUUUGGUCCUCUAGAUUUUGUUUGGUUCAGUCUUCCAACCAGUUCGACCGAUUUCGUUUGUUCAGCUGGAUUUAGUUCAAGUCAACCAAACCCGUUAAUUCCAUUUCUGUCGGACCAAUCUCUCUGGUUUUUUAUCUCCAAUCCAGGCGUUCUUCUUGGAUUUUCACCCAGAUUUACUAAUUUGAUUCAGAAGAUUUCUUCAUCAGGAUGUUCAUUACCUGAUGUUUCUAGGAUGUUCAUUUCCUGAUACCGCAUUCCUUGUUUCAGGAUGUCCUCAUUGUUUGUUUUAGGUUGUCCUUAUUCUCUAUUUCAAUUGUCCUCAUUCCCUGUUUUUUCAAGUUUUUCUUCCUUUAUUAUCCAAGAUGAAUGUGAUUAAUAUUCACUCUCGAGCAGUAUAAGGAUAUUAAAUGUAUGGUUAAAUGUAUUAGGGUAUAUAAAGGCAUUAUUGUAAUUUUAUUUUUCCUUGUUUGUCUUUAUUUGAUCUCAUUUUCAUUGUAAUGUUGAUGUGAACAAUAUUGAAUACAACAACUCUCUCUAAAUUUGAUAGCGUUUAA